GCGGAUGGCUGGAGCGCAGCCUGAUCCAGCCAUGCCGCGUGUGUGAAGAAGGCCUUCGGGUUGUAAAGCACUUUAAGCGGGGAGGAAGGGCUGAGGGUUAAUAACCUUCAGCAUUGACGUUACCCGCAGAAUAAGCACCGGCUAACUCUGUGCCAGCAGCCGCGGUAAUACAGAGGGUGCAAGCGUUAAUCGGAAUUACUGGGCGUAAAGCGCGCGUAGGUGGUUAUGUAAGUUGGAUGUGAAAGCCCCGGGCUUAACCUGGGAAUGGCAUUCAAAACUGCAGGGCUAGAGUACGGGAGAGGGGGGUAGAAUUCCAGGUGUAGCGGUGAAAUGCGUAGAGAUCUGGAGGAAUACCGAUGGCGAAGGCAGCCCCCUGGCCUGAUACUGACACUGAGGUGCGAAAGCAUGGGGAGCAAACAGGAUUAGAUACCCUGGUAGUCCAUGCCGUAAACGAUGUCGACUAGGUGUUGGGGAACUUGAUUCCUUAGUGCCGCAGCUAACGCAUUAAGUCGACCGCCUGGGGAGUACGGCCGCAAGGUUAAAACUCAAAAAAUUUGACCGGGAA
rnacentral:rRNA from 1 species